UACGGAGGGUGCAAGCGUUAUCCGGAUUCACUGGGUUUAAAGGGUGCGUAGGUGGUUUGGUAAGUCAGUGGUGAAAUCUCCGUGCUUAACAUGGAAACUGCCAUUGAUACUACUGAUCUUGAAUUUUCAGGAGGUAAGCGGAAUAUGUCAUGUAGCGGUGAAAUGCUUAGAUAUGACAUAGAACACCAAUUGCGAAGGCAGCUUACUACAGGAAUAUUGACACUGAUGCACGAAAGCGUGGGGAUCAAACAGG
rnacentral:rRNA from 1 species